rnacentral:rRNA from 1 species
UACAGAGGUGCCAAGCGUUAGGCGGAAUCACUGGGCUUAAAGCGCGUGUAGGUGGGUCGUUAAGUGUCCGCGUGAAAUCCCACGGCUCAACCGUGGAACUGCCGGGCAGACUGGCGAUCGAGGCACUCAGGGGCGAGCGGAACAAAUGGUGGAGCGGUGAAAUGCGUAGAUAUCAUUUGGAACGCCAAUGGUGAAAACGGCUCGCUGGGGGUGUCCUGACACUGAGACGCGAAAGCCAGGGGAGCGAACGGG